rnacentral:lncRNA from 1 species
GGCUCAGAGCCACCUAAACGAUGCAUUCGCUGAAUUGCAAUGGAAAUCAGGUACUCUGGCCGUGACCCUCUCCGUGAGAGAAAAAUGCCUA